CUACGGGCGGCAGCAGUGGGGAAUAUUGCACAAUGGAGGAAACUCUGAUGCAGCAACGCCGCGUGGAGGAUGACACUUUUCGGAGCGUAAACUCCUUUUAUAUAGGAAGAUAAUGACGGUACUAUAUGAAUAAGCACCGGCUAACUCCGUGCCAGCAGCCGCGGUAAUACGGAGGGUGCAAGCGUUACUCGGAAUCACUGGGCGUAAAGAGCGUGUAGGCGGGUUAAUAAGUCAGAAGUGAAAUCCUAUGGCUCAACCAUAGAACUGCUUUUGAAACUGUUAACCUAGAAUAUGGGAGAGGUAGAUGGAAUUUCUGGUGUAGGGGUAAAAUCCGUAGAGAUCAGAAGGAAUACCGAUUGCGAAGGCGAUCUACUGGAACAUUAUUGACGCUGAGACGCGAAAGCGUGGGGAGCAAACAGGAUUAGAUACCCCAGUAGUC
rnacentral:rRNA from 1 species